rnacentral:rRNA from 1 species
AGAAUCAACGCUGGCGGCGUGCCUCAGACAUGCAAGUCGAACGCGAAAGUCCCCUUCGGGGGAUGAGUAGAGUGGCGCUCGGGUGAGUAACACGUAGGUAAUCUACCUUUGGGUGGGGAAUAACAGCCGGAAACGGCUGCUAAUACCGCAUAAUGCAGCGGCUCGACAUCGAGACAGUUGUUAAAGCGGGGGAUUCCGUAAGGAACCUCGCGCCUGAAGAGGAGCCUGCGGCAGAUUAGCUAGUUGGUAAGGUAAUGGCUUACCAAGGCUUCGAUCUGUAGCCGGCCUGAGAGGGCGGUCGGCCACGACUGACACUUAAAUACGGGUCAGACUCCUACGGGAGGCAGCAGUAGGGAAUCUUGGACAAUGGGCGAAAGCCUGAUCCAGCCAUGCCGCGUGAGUGAAGAAGGCCUUAGGGUUGUAAAGCUCUUUUGGCGGGACGAUAAUGACGGUACCGCAGAAUAAGCCCGGCUAACUUCGUGCCAGCAGCCGC